UGUUUGCAUUCCUAAACUUUACCAGAAAAUCCCCAGGAACUUUGGUCCUGAACAGUCUAUUAUAGGAGUAAAAGAAAAAGAGAAGAAAAAGCAUUUCUAUAGUCUCAAAAACACUGGACUGGAACAGCCAAGUAAGUCAGAAGAAUCUUAUGAGAGCAAAACCAAAUCAUGGAGAAAAUAAGACAUCUGAACUGUUGCAUUGAACACUAUCUUUGGCUGAAAUCUCUGGGUGGAAGGUCAUUUGAACCCUCUCUGCCUGGUAUGUAAAAUUGUUGUUGAAAGAAAGCACAAAAUGGAAUCAAAGAAAUGGGGCCGCACGGUAGAGGUUGGUCAUGAGAACAAAUCUGAAUGAGGAGAAUGAAGACACUUCAAGGACCAAUUCAGUGCUAAGAGGCAGCAUGGAAGAAGGUGUUUAUGUGAGAAGGUGACAGACAAACAGAUGAAGUUAUGCAGAGAAAAGCAGCUCAGCACUGAGGAGUGGUUGAAGGCACAGGAAGUCAACUUGAAGAGUGUGGGAAGGAGUGAACUGACAAGAACUUUACCUCAGAAGUCAUCCAAUUAACUUCAGUGGGACCACACAUGGAGAAGAUACCCUCACUCAUGCUGCUCAGUAUCAGAAUCAAGCUCUUAGAAUCUCAUUUUCAAAAAUUCUACCAUAAUGCUGG